UCUAUCUAUCUAUCUAUCUAUCUAUCUAUCUAUCUAUCUAUCUAUCAAUCACCCAACACACCCACAUUCAGUCUCUGCUGGUAGAUUGUGAUGCAUAAAGAAGUUUCACAAAUUCACAUUAUACUGUAUCGUACUGUAUUUUUAUGAAUAUUUAUACAAAAACAGUUAAAUGUUUUAUUUUUUCCAUGUCAGAAAAGUUAAGCUGUACAUCCUGUUUCAGAGCAGCCACCCUCAGAGUUAGGGUGUGACAUGUUGACCCUUUUUCAGCUUUGUCAACUUUGUCAACAAAAUAUGUCAGCAGAAGAACUCUGAGGCAAGCAGGAGACAGCAGUUACCAUGUACUCCUUAACGUUAAAUGUGCAACAUCUCCAACUCAAUCACCAGAUAGUAUGUACUUUUUGACUGAUGAAUGCGUGUGUCACAGUAAAGGAGGAUGUAUUGUAUAUAUUUGACCUCGGCCACACUGACGAAUCUCUUUUCUAAAGAAAGUUUAAUCAUGUCUACUGACUAUCUACAACCUGAUCUCACAGAAUUCCGUGAAAUGAACACGGCCCCUUAACUCCAAAUCUGUGGCAGUUGCACGGAAUUGACGACAAUUCUGUGAUCGGCCCACGGAACAAUUCCGUGAAAUUAACACGGCUCCUUAAAUUCCAUGAUUGGCCCACGGAAGAAUACCGUGAAAUGAACAUGGCCCCUUAAGUUUAGGAAAAGGUUGUAUGUAGACUUACGUUUCCAUGACACACGUGUUAUGUGGGCAGCUGUUAUCUCCCCUUAUUUUGUCCCCACUUUGUCAGUGGUGUCUGUAUGUGUGUUUGUCCCCACUGUGUCUGGAGUGUCUGCAAGGAGAUCCACCUCUCUGUACAGCUGCUGGCGAUUCCGCUGAUUCUUACCUGCACAGCUGCCUCUAAUUCCACUCUCCUACCUGGCAGUAUUUAUUCCUGGGCAUGGCUCUCCACCAGUGCCAGAUAGUUGCACCUACCAGUGUGACCUACACCUCGAGACCUGCUGCCGUGGCUUGCUGUGUCGCCAGCUCAUCACACUGUUUUUUUCUUCCCUCUCAUAUGUAUUUAAUCUAGAGAGUUUGGAAGUUCCUCUGCCUGCCCGCCUCAGCCCCUUUUCCAGCCCAGAGCCGAUCUACUUUGUAUCAGCAUUCCUUGGUUACUUGAAAGAACUGAAUUGUCAUUAAAACAUUUUGUUAUAUCGUUA